rnacentral:rRNA from 1 species
AUUGAACGCUGGCGGUAUGAUUUACACAUGCAAGUCGAACGGUAACAGGCCGCAAGGUGCUGACGAGUGGCGAACGGGUGAGUAAUGCAUCGGAACGUGCCCAGUCGUGGGGGAUAACUACUCGAAAGAGUAGCUAGUACCGCAUACGAUCUAUGGAUGAAAGCGGGGGACCGUAAGGCCUCGCGCGAUUGGAGCGGCCGAUGUCAGAUUAGGUAGUUGGUGGGGUAAAGGCUCACCAAGCCAACGAUCUGUAGCUGGUCUGAGAGGACGACCAGCCACACUGGGACUGAGACACGGCCCAGACUCCUACGGGAGGCAGCAGUGGGGAAUUUUGGACAAUGGGCGCAAGCCUGAUCCAGCAAUGCCGCGUGCAGGAAGAAGGCCUUCGGGUUGUAAACUGCUUUUGUACGGAACGAAACGGCUCUGGUUAAUACCCGGGGCUAAUGACGGUACCGUAAGAAUAAGCACCGGCUAACUACGUG